CCACACUGAGACCUGUCUUGCCUGAGUUACUGCACUUCAAGGAUCAAUAUAACCAGCUUUCAGAAGAAGCAUAUCAUAUACAAGGACGACAACCAGGUUGGCCCUGAUUUCUCCAGCAACACUGAAAUGAAGUUCUUUAAAAAGGUAGAAGCUGACCUUAAAUGCAGCCAAUAAGGAUAGAGUCAAAGACUUUGAGUGGCAAGCUCGCCGUGGGCUUCCCCAACGAGGGGGACUGCUCGGGAGGUGGCAGCCAGUGAUGUAAGCAUGAGACACUUGGCUGGUCUUCGACAACAGGAGUACGUCUCCCAUGCGGGCAGGGUGACGGUUGUACAAGUGCCAGCUCUUCAGCAUUCAAAGCAAGAAGUCGAAGCUGCUGCUAAAAAGCACAUGACACUCAUCUCUUAAUGUUUUUUGUCAUUUCUAAAAAUAAUCUUAGGGAAAUCUUUUAAACUGGUGAAGAACCAUUCAUCGAAUUUCAGCAAUCAUGUUUUCCCUUAAAAUUAAUUUUUCAUUUGAAA